ACCCCUCCCCCCACUGGGGAUCGAGCCCACAAGCAGGGCAUGUGCCCUGAUUGGCAAUCGAACUAGGGACCUUUUAGUUUGCAGGCCGUCGCUCUACCCACUGAGCGACAGCAGUCAGGGUUACAGUGUGUUCUUGAGCAAUAUUUAUUUUUCCUAUUUCUGAAAGGAAGAGAGAAGCAUGAAUAAUGAGUGAUGAUCGUCGAUUGGCUGCGUUCCUUGUGCAAGAAGAAAGAGUGACAUGUGUUGUCAUGUGCUAAGCGGAAGGAAUAGGCCCUGGCCAGUGUUGUUCGGCGGUUAGACGUUCGGAUGGCCAGGGAAGGGUCGCUGGCAGGAUUCCUGGUCCAGAGCACAUACCUGGGAUGCAUGUUUCAUCGUCUGCCCCGGUCUGGGCUCCUGUGGGAGCCAAAGAUGCAUGUGUCUGUUGUAUACUCAUGUUUGCUUGUUUUUUUUUCUCUCUCUCCUCCCGCUCCCUCCCUUCCACGCUCUCUAAGAAAAUGAAUGGUGAAAACAUCUCCUCUGUAAAGAAUUAAGCAAAACACACAGACGAAAAAAGUACAAAGAAGGAAAAGAGUUGGAGGGUGUGAAAAAGCACCAUAUGCACCAAGAAAGGCACCAUGAUGAGCAGAGCAUUCAACUCCGCUGAUGUUUUUCCACGCGAUGCUGCAGCAGGCUCUCCACAGACAAGCUUGUGACUCAUCCGAUCACACCGGAGACUGAGAGGAGGAGUCGAGAGACAGAGAGAAGGAGGGGAGUCGGAGAUUGCGGCGCAGAUUCCACACAUGUGCACUGUGGGCCCCGGACGAGAGUCGGCUGCUAAGCAACAGGCAGCGGCGGCAAAAACACCCGUCUGGCCGGAUAAAUGUUUUCGGCUGGCCGCAUGUGGCCCGUGGGCCGUCGUUUGAGGACCCCUGUUUUAAUGUAUAACUUAGCUCACAUGAUGUCCUAGGCAUGCCUGUUCAUCAUUGUCACUUGCUGAACUCCCAAUAAAAGCCAUGAGAAUUU